rnacentral:rRNA from 1 species
UACCAGCACCCCGAGUGGUCGGGACGAUUAUUGGGCCUAAAGCAUCCGUAGCCGGUUUUACAAGUCCUCCGUUAAAUCCAGCUGCUUAACAGAUGGGCUGCGGAGGAUACUAUAAGACUAGGAGGCAGGAGAGGCAAGCGGUACUCAGUGGGUAGGGGUAAAAUCCGUUGAUCCAUUGAAGACCACCAGUGGCGAAGGCGGCUCACUGGCCCGGUACUGACGCUGAGGUGCGAAAGCGUGGGGAGCAAACAGG